rnacentral:tRNA from 1 species
GGACGGUUAGCUCAGUGGUAGAGCACUUCUUUGACGUAGAAGGGGUCGCAGGUUCAAAUCCUGCACCGUCCACCA